rnacentral:tRNA from 1 species
CCUGGAGUAGCUCACCGGAAGAGCACCCGGCUGUCACCCGGGAGGGUGCGAGUUCGACUCUCGCCUUCAGGU